ACUUCUCCUGAAGUUUAUAUUAAACUAUUUAUGGCUAUUAGAUGGGUAUGCGUCCUAUUAGUUAGUUGGUAAGGUAACGGCUUACCAAGGCAGCGAUAGGUACGGGGUCCUGAGAGGGAGACUCCCCACACUGGUACUGAGACACGGACCAGACUCCUACGGGAGGCAGCAGUGAGGAAUAUUGGACAAGUGGGCGAGAGCCUGAUCCAGCCAUGCCGCGUGCAGGAAGACUCGCCCUAUGGGUUGUAAACUGUCUUUUACAGAGGAAGAACCACCCCACGUGUGGGGGGUUUGACGGUACUCUGCGAAUAAGGAUCGGCUAACUCCGUG
rnacentral:rRNA from 1 species